rnacentral:siRNA from 1 species
UAAGGGAAUGGCAUUUGGUCUA